rnacentral:rRNA from 1 species
GACGAACGCUGGCGGCGUGCUUAACACAUGCAAGUCGAACGGAAAGGCCCUGCUUUUGUGGGGUGCUCGCGUGGCGAACGGGUGAGUAACACGUGAGUAACCUGCCCUUGACUUUGGGAUAACUUCAGGAAACUGGGGCUAAUACCGGCUACGAGCUCCUGCAGCAUGGUGGGGGUCGGAAAGUUCCGGCGGUUGAGGAUGGACUCGCGGCUUAUCAGCUUGUUGGUGGGGUAGUGGCUUACCAAGGCUUGGACGGUUAGCCGGCCUGGGAGGGUGACCGGCCACAUAGGGACAGGGGAAGGACCCAGAGGGCUAAGUGAGGAAGGGGUGGGGAAUAGAGCACGAUAGGCGAAGCGUGUGGCAACAACGCCGCGUGUGGAAUGACUGCCUACGUGUUGUAAACCGCUGUCGCCUGUGACGAAGCGUGAGUGACGGUAAUAAGUGAAGAAGCACCGGCUAACUACGUG